rnacentral:lncRNA from 1 species
AUCAUCACAGAAAUACUCGUUCGACUUCCGGUGAAAUCCGUUCUCCAAUGCAAGUCCGUUUGCAAGCCUUGGCUACACACCAUUUCAAACCCUAAUUUCAUCAAAUCUCACCUCCAUCACGCCAUCACCGCUUCUCGGUAUGAUCCCACACUUCUCAACAUCAUUAAUGUGACACAACUUGCCUUGCUCGCUAUUGAACCGCUCCUCCUUUUCGCCGAUCCAGCUGAAUUGCAACAGCAACAACGACGACAGCUUGUUAAUCAGGCCCUUGAUGAUGCCGACUCCCAAGAUUUGUCGGGAUCGCCUUUGCAGCUUGCUCGCCUUGAUAUACCAGGUCGGCUCGGAUUGUCUCAAUUUGUUGGUUGUUGUAAUGGUAUUAUAUGUCUAUGUAAUAAUGAUGAUGAUGUCUAUCUUUGGAAUCCAUCAAUCAAAAUGUUUAGGGAAAUUGUAUUUCCCAACCGGGAUGGAAAAAUAUCAGCUACAGUUGGGUUUGGCUAUGAUCGUAUCUCGAAUGAAUACAAGCUCCUUAGGUUUGUGUAUGAGAGCAGGGAUGGCGUUGUUCCGAUGGCCAAGGUGUAUUAUGUAAAUGCCGAUUAUUGUAGAGAAUUUCAAAGUCCGAAUUUGAAGACACAAAUUUAUCCAGUGGCGCAAAGUAAUAUUGUUGUCAACAAUGUUCUGUAUUUUGUUGGCGGAGAUCAGCUAGUCUCUUUUGAUUUACAUGAGGAAGCGUUUGAACUAGUUGCGUUUCCUAACAUUAUACAAAAAAAGAUGUCAGAUGUUAUGGAUUUCGAAGGUUCUGUUGCUAUUGUCUUUGAGUCUGGAACUGGGGUUGAUCUAUGGACGUUGGAUACUGUUUCUGGUGUGUUUUCUUGGACCAAGAAGUUCAGCAUGGAGUAUGGGUUGGAUGAUUUGGAUACAGAGAUAUGGCUGUCUUGUUAUUUGGGUGCAAAACAGUUCUAUGGAUGGAAGUUGCUGAAUGGAAAUUAUUUCGUGUAUGAAAUCUUGUAUGACUAUGAGAAGAAAAAUAUCAAAUAUUACAGUCUUGGAGAAGAGUAUGUUAAGAUAUACCGAACUUCAGAGGAGUUGGAGGCAAUGAUUCGUUUAUUGCUGGAAGACUCAAUUGUACCUGUUCAUACAGCUUUCAAAUACACUGAGACACUUGUUUCACUUGACAGGUUUGAACCAGUAGAAAAUGCUAGGAAUGAACUAUCUACUAAUUCUUGGGGUAAGUUAACAAAACAUCAGCUCAUUAGUAAAUCUUAUUAAUCAGUUAUAUUUCAUUGAAUGCAGCGGAUGGGUUUUUUAACUUUAAUUAGAGUAUCAAAGAUAAUUUUUUUUGUUAAAAACUAUAUUGCUCCCUAAAUAUAUAUAAGCAAUGGCUUUAACGCCCCCGAGUUAUAAUUAGGGGGAAAUCAAGUGAAAAGGAAGUAAAGUUAUGUAACUUUCACUCCUGUUUUUGCUCCCGAGUCUUUUAAAAGGAGGAAAGCAAGUGAAAGUGGAUGCAAAUAUAUCAUACUUUCACUCCAAAAGUUUCACUCCAAAAGUGGGAUGAAAGUGAAAGCACAUUUGCUUUCACUUGCUUUCUCUCCUAAAUUAAAUUGAGUUAUGUGUAUAUGUGUGGCAGUCAAACAUAGAAUCUUGUAUUCAAAGGGUAUUUUUUGGAAAAACAUCCAAAAAUUGCUUUGAAAAGAGAAAUGGGACAAGUAUUUUGGGACAAUUUUUUUCCAAAAGAGACAUGUAAAAGGGGACGGAGGAAGUAUUUGAAAACGGAGGGAGUGCCGGUCAACAUUUAGGAAAAGGUUACUGUAUCACUUCCUUUAGAUUAAUAGUUACAGUAACUUACAGGAAUACAGAAAUUACCUUAAGAAAUACAAUUAGUGUCGCAAAUGACAUCACUGAUCUAAGACCUAUAUGUAAUUCAACUAUAGAUUUCCCAACUGUAACAAAUGUUAAAUUGUGUAUUUCAUCAUAUCUUUAUCUUAAUUAGAUUCUGUUCCUAUGUGCUGAUGGAGUAAGAUAUUCUAGCAGAGUUGCAGUAUAACAAAACUUUAGAUUGACGAUUGUUACUAUAAUUUUUUUUGGUCUUGUCUGUUUGUUAUAAUAAUAAGUAACUUGAUAAGUAUUCCUUAUUGAAUGAAUAUUCUGUUUUUGUCUUGUCCCUGUUAUUUAACCAGUCAUUUUCAAAAGAUAUAUAUUGUCCGAUGAAUGUUAUAUGAUAUCUAAUUAAUGUAUAAUAUCUGAAAGACAGCUUUUGCUUUUGUUACCUGAAAGCCAAAUUGCUCAAUUUGGUGAUUUAGUUACCAAUCCUGCUUUAUUGAUGGAAGCUUUUGCGUUCUAUUCUUUUGCAGGAUUCAUACAUGAGUCAUAACUGAAAGGUAAGCAGCACAAGGCAAGUGAAGUGUUGUUAGAGCAAGUCCAAUAGAUGUGCUAAAUCAAGUCUUAAAUCCAAAAAUAGGGAAUAUGGGAUAAAAUUGCACUCCAACACUAUGCUAGUGAUGUGCUAAAUCACUAGCACAAGCCUUCCCUUCCCUAUUUUUAGAAUAUGCUAGCCACUUCUAAACUAUUUUUAUCAUUAAAAUAUUCAUUUCCCUCUCUCCUCCACAUCAUUUCCCUCUCUCCUCCACACCAAAAUUGUUUAAAUUUAAUAUUAUUAUAAUAAUAGGGAAUGGAUAUAGGGAGUACUAUUAGAGCUCAUGUGCUAAAUCUUGUGCUAAAUCACUAAGACAUAUUAUUUUAUAAUAUAUUUAGGGAACCUCUCUUGCUUCAUAUCUAUGAGAAGACCCUACUGUCUAACAAUUUACUACUAUUGACUAUCUAGAUAAAUAUGUUGCAAGUAUAGUUUGCUAUAUCUAUUUGAAGGGACCAGGUCUCUGGCAUACGGCUGCCAGGGACUGGUUAUACAACAGCCCAUUUCUUGGCCGCUAGAUAUGCAUCCAACGGCCAGGAAAUGGGCUGUUGGUUAAGCGGUCCACAGCAACCGGUUGCUGUGGACCGCUACCCCUAUUUGAAAUGGGUGGAUAAAUGGCGUGUAGAGCCUUUGUUCUUUGUUUCUCAGUAUGUUUGUAUUAUGGAACAUUUGCUCUGUUUAAGAAUCUUAAAUUAAUUUUUUACUUCCACUGAACUGAAAUGGGUUGAUGAAUUGCGUAUAGAGCCUUUGUUCUAUCUUCUAUGUUUCUUCGUAUGUAUUAUGCAACAUUUCCUGUCUAAGAAUCUUGAAUUUAUUUCUGACUUCCACUGAAGUGAAGGUCAUGAUUUACAAGCCUGAUCUUGAUACACAUAUCAAAGAAUAUACUUAAAUUUAAAAAAAAAAUAUUUUUAAUCUCUAUGAAUUAUCAAAAAAAUCUUAAACAAGGAUCAUUUUAUGGUAUUUGUUUUAUUGACUUAAGAUGCAUUGAACGACUAAUUCCAAAAUUUAUUUCUCUAGUUUUUCUUUUGUAAAUGGAAAUUUCAUAUUUUAAUUUUUAUUCACAAAAAUAAUAUUUUAAAAAUAAAUAAUGUAGUUAUGCGCCAAUAAAUCUUAAAUUGUGUCCUCGAAGUCAACGAGCUCAUUUAAUCUGGUAUGAUUUAAUCUGGGAUGGAGGGAGUAUCUGGAUAAUCAGAUUUGUCAAUACGGUUACAAUGAAUAUCUGAUUAAUGAAUUUUAACCAAUUGAAUAUAUCGAUUUUUUUUUAAAAAUUUUCAAUCGAAUAUGUCCCGUUAGGAUAAUUCAUUUUUUUUAGAGAAUAUCAUUCGUUUUAACUCUAUUUUUCCCGGUUAAAUCAAACGACCCCUUAUCUAUAAUACUCACUUCAUCCCACAAUACAUGUUUCUUUUGAAAGAAAUUUUUGUCCCAUAGUACAUGUCAUAUUUAUUUCCAAUGAAAAUAUAUUGCCAAUAUUUCAAAUUUACCCUUUUUCAACAAUUAUUAAAGAGGACUAUCAGAAAAAGCUGUUACCUCCUCUCUCCCUCUCCUCCUCCUCCCCCUCAUAUUACAUGUGUGUACAUAUGCAAUUAGUCCAGAAUGAUCGAGAACUACUCUGUAAACAUAAAUGUUUUGGUCGUUGUUUCGCCGGAGAUCACUCUCGUUUCUGGUGACUUUUUUUGUUUGUUUCCUCAUAAUGAAAUCUCGCCGGCCCGUGCUUCCGGUCGACCGGAGCGGAAUUCCUUCACACGCGAGCUUCCUGUUAAGCUUCGACGGAGGAGUCCUUUUCCGGAGCCUGUUCUGAUCACAUCUUCGGCCGGUUUGUUACCGGCGACGAUUCAGUCUCCGGCGGAUAUGAUACGGUGGAAUUACUUAGCGUACGAAGCCAUGUUUACCGAGAGCGACGUGGUUGUAUUCGCCAAAGGCGUGAACAAGCGGCAAGGCAAAAACUGGGACCCAUGGGAGUUGAAUUGCGUGUUUGGCGAUGACGAUUUGCUUAUUGAAUUUCUUCUUUUGUUUGAUUUAAUCUUUAUUUGUCAUCGUUAUUCUUUAUAUUUUGACAUUCAUCCAUAUUUAUAUUGUUCUGGUACUGCUAAUUUUUAUGGAUGUAGAAACUUCUGCCUAGCAAGGUCAUAUCCAUGGUGGUGAUGGAUAGUUCCAGAAGGGGUGGAGAAGAAGAGCUAAUUUGACGAUAAUUGUUCCUUAAUUAAGGAUAUUAAUUAUUCUUAAUUAAGGUUUUUAGUACCAUUUAUGGCGAUCAUUAUUGGGCAUUAUUGGCCCAUAGAGUCAUUUAAGUGCCAUAAUGUUGGCUCGUUUAUGUCUUUAUUUUAAUUUUUUUCAAAUUCGCUCACAUUCGUUUCAUUCUGUUUUGUCUUAUUUUCAGGAUGUUUAAGAAUUUAUUUGUUAAGGCUGCUUCCGAGAAGACGCGAACCUUGGUGUACAAGACAGCUGAGCUACAAACAUAGAGAGAAAGGAAUAAAGAAGACAUCAUUUUUAGUCUAUUUUGUAAUCGAUGUAAUUUUUGUAGGGCACUCUUUUUCCCAUUGAGUUUUUUUCCCACAGAGUUUUGCUCUUGAGGGGUUUUAACGAGGUCCUUUUUCUGUGGGUUAUCUCUUCUGACUUGAAAGUCUAUGUUAUCUAAGCUUCCGGAGUAUUUACAUACUUUCGGUUAGAUGAUAUACCUUCUUGAACGAAGCAUACUCUGUCCAUCCGGAUUUGUAUCUUUCUUGGUAUAAUACAACCGUUUUAUGACAAAAAAAAACAAUUAAUGGGGGUUGAAUAAGAGUCUACAUUCAUGUAUUUAUUAGAGUUAUAUGUGAGAAAAUGUUAUUUAAUUAAUGUUUUCUUCAUAUGCGUAAUUUUUUCAAAAUAAACUUGUAUUUUGAGACGGAAAGAAUAGUCAUUAAAAUAAGUGCAUAGGCGAUCCAUAUCUCAGAUACCAAGCGUCACAAAGCAAACCCAGCUCAAGAGUCGAGAAGAGUCUUCCUGAUGUUUUGAUACUCCUGUCCAGAUAAAUUUUUUACAUUUAGUUUGGACGGAGGUUAAGAAAUAAAAAUAAUAAAAAAACAAAGAAGAGUAGGUAAAGGUUGAGAAUAUUUAAUUUGGAGAGAGAUUAACAAAUGUGUAUAAAAUAGUAGAAAAGAGAAAGAUGAGUAGAUGAAGAGAAUCAUUAAUUUUUAAUAUAUAAAAAAAGAUAAUUGAGUAAAAAUAGUAUAAAAAUAUAGGAAAAAAUGAAAAAGUGAUAGCACCAUCGACCAUUUUUGACACAUAAUUAAUCGGAUUUAAACCAAAACUAAAGAAAUAUAGUUGGGAGGUGGAGUAUUAAAUAGCGUGUGAUUGUCAGUUUUGAGCUGCGAGCAGCUAGAUCAACCAGAAACACAGAGCCCAAACUAAACCCUAAAGUUUCACUUUCUUCUCCAAACAAGAUGACAGAGAAUCCAAAGAGGUCCCUAUCUGAUUUCCCCGAAGAAAUCAUCACAGAAAUACUUGUUCGACUUCCGGUGAAAUCUGUGCUCCAAUGCAAAUCCGUUUGCAAGCCUUGGCUACACACCAUUUCAAACCCUAAUUUCAUCAAAUCUCACCUCCAUCACGCCAUCACCGCUUCUCGAUAUGAUCCCACACUACUCAACAUCAUUAAUGUGGAACAACUUGCCUACCUUGCUGCUAGUGACCGGCUCUUCCAUUACGCCGAUCCUGCCCCAGC